GAAAUGCGAUAAGUAGUGUGAAUUGCAGAACUCCGUGAAUCAUCGAAUGUUUGAACGCAUAUUGCGCUUUGCAGAUGCAAGUCUGCGAAGCAUGCCUGUUUGAGCGUCCCCAUCAUCAUCACCCACCUAGGGUGGAAGAUGAGCGUCUGCUUUAGGGUAGUCGCUUGAAGGAUAUUGAGAAGGCACGAUUAACAAAAGCCGACGCAGGCCGAUAUGGGUACUGCGCACAGAAGGUGAAAUACCACAGUCUGCGCGUCAGUUGCCCCUACCAGCCAAGCAUAGGCCCGAUCGCAAGGACCUCAAAUCAGGCAAGACCACCCGCUGAACUUAA
rnacentral:misc_RNA from 1 species